UCCCUAGUGGCUCAGAGGUUAAAGCGUCUGCCUCCAAUGGAGGAGACCCAGGUUCGAUCCCUGGGUCAGGAA
rnacentral:tRNA from 1 species